rnacentral:rRNA from 1 species
GUUAUCGUUUAUUUGAUAGUACCUUACUACUUGGAUAACCGUGGUAAUUCUAGGGCUAAUACAUGCUGAAAACCCCAACUUCGGGAGGGGUGUAUUUAUUAGAUAAAAAACCAACGCCCUUCGGGGCUUCUUGGUGAUUCAUGAUAACUUCACGGAUCGCAUGGCCUUGCGCCGGCGACGGUUCAUUCAAAUUUCUGCCCUAUCAACUUUCGAUGGUAAGGUAUUGGCUUACCAUGGUUUCAACGGGCAACGGGGAAUUAGGGUUCGAUUCCGGAGAGGGAGCCUGAGAAACGGCUACCACAUCCAAGGAAGGCAGCAGGCGCGCAAAUUACCCAAUCCCGACACGGGGAGGUAGUGACAAUAAAUACUGAUACAGGGCUCUUUUGGGUCUUGUAAUUGGAAUGAGUACAAUUUAAACCUCUUAACGAGGAACAAUUGGAGGGCAAGUCUGGUGCCAGCAGCCGCGGUAAUUCCAGCUCCAAUAGCGUAUAUUAAAGUUGUUGCAGUUAAAAAGCUCGUAGUUGAAACUUGG